GGGGGCGUAGCUCAGUUGGGAGAGCGUCUGCUUUGCACGCAGAAGGUCAGCGGUUCAAUUCCGCUCGUCUCCA
rnacentral:tRNA from 1 species